CUACAACUCCGAUUAAGUUGCAAUCUCCUUUGUUAUUGAUUCAGACUUCAAAUUUAAAUUGAUUUCUAUCAAGAUUUGUGUUCAAUCCCACCACAUGGAUGUUUUUGUAAAAAUCGAUGUUAUCACUAAUAUGUGUAUUUCUUGCUUUGCCUUCGAAUAAUUGAUCAAUCAGGUUUGUUUUUUGCUAAUCAUUUUAGAUAAACGUGUUGAUUUUGAUAAUCGAAUUCAUUUUUGGGUUAAUUUCUGACCCAACUCCAAAACCCCAUCUCGAUUUCUUUGUUCAUCUCCAUAUUUAUAUGUUUAUAUGGUAUGAUGACUUUAUAAUCGUUUCCACAUAUUACUUUUGUGUAAAAAAGAAAAUAUUGAUACAGUGUUUGUGAUUAAAUUAAAUGUUGGUGUCAAUGUAAUUAGUUCAAGUGGAAGCUAACAAUUUAGUAGUAAGAAAUUGGGAAUUGAUGCAGUUAGGCAUUCUGCACAAGAUGUAUAUCAAAAGCUUCUUCCUUAUAAUAUCGGAUUCAUUCCAAAAGAGUUUGCUGGUUGAGGAUGGCUUUAUCUAUGAUGGACACCAUCAAAAAAAAAAAAAAACAAUGAAUGAGAUGACAAAUGUUUGUUGAUCUAAGUGUAUGUUCAAGCUCACAAUGCAACUUGGGGAUCAAUGGAAAGAAGAUCAUGUGAUCGUUAUUAACGAUCAAUCUUUAUGCAUGUUUGUUGAUUUAUAUUUUUUGUUUGUAUGUUUUAAGGGGGAAAAUAAAUCGAUUUUCGGAUGCAAGGUUAUGAGAUUCCUCAAGAAUGGUUAGGCUGAUUCGGUUGGAAGAAAAUGGAAUUGAUUUAAUCUUAUGUGCAAAUGAAACUAACUCAUAAUCUACACAAUCGAUGAUAAGGUGUUCUUUAUAGAACCCAUGUAAUAUAUGAGUCAAUAA